rnacentral:lncRNA from 10 species
GGCCUCCGGCUGGGGCCACCCAGGCAACCGAUAUACACAGAGAACCACGUGGAGGAAAAGCACGCGAGUUUGGAGCGGGUGGAGCAGGAACAGAGGUGGACUGGAAUGUCACACGACGGGGCAGCUGGAAGGGCACCACUGAGUUCAGUACUUCAAAAUUGCCGUGCUCUACCUCUCCCCAGUGCACAAAAACACUCUCCACACCAAGCUGCUGCUGCUGGGGGAUGGAGGGAUGGCGUCAGCGAUUCAAGACUGUUUUUCCUACCUGUUCAGCACUUCUUUCAGCGAUAUGAAGUUAAAUCCAGGAGUCUUCAUUUGUCACCCAGGCUGGAAUGCAGUGGUUCAAUCUCAGCAGCUCACUGCAGCCUCUGCCUCUCAGGUUCCAAUGGUUCUUGUGCCUCAGCCUCCCAAGUAGCUGGGAUUACAGGCAUCAUCGCCAUCAACAUACAGCCAUACUCCAGGAUUGCCCAUCUUCAACAUAAACGGACUCUCCUGGACUCCACUUCCCACAUCAGUCACAGCCACACUUCCUGAGAAAGAAGUCUACACUCUUCAUUCACUUUCAUUCACCCACUUCCAACCUGGCUCCUGUUACCACUGGACCGUCAAAAGUGACUCUUGUCAAAGUCACUAUUCUGGCUACCUAUUGCUGUGUAAUAACCUCCUCAAAAUUUAGUAUCUUUAAAAAA